ACAGUCACAUCAUGUUUAAAGACCAGUUCCCAUAUGGUCACCGAAAUUAAUCCAUGUCAGGCCUGGUCAUUACUAGAUGGGUGACCCCUUAGGAAUACCAGGUGCUGUAAG